ACGUAGGGUGCGAGCGUUAAUCGGAAUUACUGGGCGUAGAGCGUGCGCAGGCGGUCUUGCAAGACAGUGGUGAAAUCCCCGGGCUCAACCUGGGAACUGCAUUUGUGACUGCCUAGCUAGAGUUCGUCAGAGGGGGGUGGAAUUCCACGUGUAGCAGUGAAAUGCGUAGAGAUGUGGAGGAACACCGAUGGCGAAGGCAGCCCCCUGGGACAUGACUGACGCUCAGGUACGAAAGCGUGGGGAGCAAACAG
rnacentral:rRNA from 1 species